rnacentral:sRNA from 1 species
CGGGUUAUAUGCCUUUAUUGUCACUUUUUGCUUUUUUCGUUGGCCAUUGCGAUGGGUAUUUAUUUCCCAGCGAAUAAAUUGACAAGCCCGAACGAUUGUUCGGGCUUUUUUUUAUCUGAAA